CACGUAGGGGGGCGAGCGUUGUCCGGAUUUAUUGGGCGUAAAGAGCUCGUAGGCGGCUCAGUAAGUCGGGUGUGAAACCUCCAGGCUCAACCUGGAGACGCCACCUGAUACUGCUGUGGCUGGAGUCCGGUAGGGGAGAGUGGAAUUCCUGGUGUAGCGGUGAAAUGCGCAGAUAUCAGGAAGAACACCCGUGGCGAAAAGCGGCUCUCUGGAACGGUACUGACGCUGAGACGCGAAAGCGUGGGGAGCGAACAGG
rnacentral:rRNA from 1 species